UCCCAGCUACUAGGGAGGCUGAGGCAGGAAAAUCGCUUGAACUCAGAAGGCGGAGGUUGCGGUGAGCUGAGAUCACGCCACUGCACUCCAACCUGGGCAACAGAGUGAGACUCUGUCUCAAACAAACAAACAAACAAAAUAACAGGUGAAGGAUGCCUAGAAAAAUUCCAAACUGAGCACACACAACUGAAGUUUUAACUUUCCCCCCUUAUUCCUCAAAAGUAGCCAACAAAACAAUCUUGAGGUUAGAUGGGGUUUGGCACAGGGAUCCAAAGCCUGCAGUCCUACUAGACUACCAGCUCCUCAGAGGCGGAGUGUGGCCUAUACAGUUUCACAGCCCCAGCCUCUCACAGUACCUGGCACAUGGUGGGUACCCAAUAAAUGCUGAAAUAAUCUAAGGUGAUUUGUCAGGGGCACUUUUCUGGUUACAAAACAAAACAAAACCCUUUCCUCAAGAGACCAAAGACUCUUAUUGAAACGUGCAAAGUCACCGGGAAGUUCUUAAAAGGAAAAGGACAGUCACAGCUCUAGGGCAACUGCUUGCCAACUAAUAAUGUGAGAUGAAAAGAGCUGGCUUUGGAAGUGUCAUGUGGCAACAAGCUGGGAGAAGGUGGGGGGUAUCACAGAUAAAGAAGAGCUGGUGACAAAACGCAAAGAGUAUGCACAUCUACAGUGAACCCCCACCUGGCAGGCUCACCCCCACGUGGAGGGAACGGCAAAAGUGGAUGAAAACUCUCUCACAAUCAUUUUUCCCCUAUUGCCUUCUUUCCGGAUACCAACUCUGCUUCUGCCCUCACCCAGCAAGUCUCCAUUUCUUCUCAUUUCCAACCCCCUUGCCUCUGACUCACUUACUAUUCCUGGAAUCUUCCCAGCCUACAUUUCUAAAAGAACUAUAGCUGCCACCAAUAGCUGUGGUCUGGAAAAGCUUCUUCCACAGGACUGCCAGUCCUCACAGAAAGAAGAAUUCCUGGUUUCGCAAGAUCAAGUUCCGUAUACAAGGCAAAGAAGCUCUUUAAGACACUCAGAUAAUUAAAGAGGGCUGGCUGACCUUCAAAUCCAUGAGUUUCAAUGGACUCAAGGAAGAAAGAAGAUGAGUAUCAUUUCCCGAGGUUUCACAGCAACACAAACCAACACAUGUACACACUCCUGCCUCUGCCCAGGUUUUCUCUACCCAGCCAGGGCUAGAGCACAGCUGCUUACUCACCUCGGAUUUCUCCAGCCUGUUUUGAGCCUCAAUCUGAGCCACGAUUUCAUUCAUGUUUGUUUCCAACACCAUCCCACCCAUCACCACCUCCUGGAGGAUGUAGUGCACCUAAAAGGGAAGCAAAAAUCAGGAGUCAGAAUACUCUGUGGUGGUCAGAGUGUAACCCACGAGGUUUCCUUUUCCUGCAGCAGCAGAGUGGUCAGAUAUGACCUGUCCUGACUCACAACUCAGACACUCAAACCCCCCUGCCCAGUGACACAACGAGGGGUCUCUCCCAGGUCUUGGCACAUGGCAACACGAAUCUCUCCCCUCAGCAGCGAGGUGGUAGCUAUGAGCACAGGCUUCAAAGUCUGACAGCUCUUGUUUAAAUUCUGGCUCUGCUACUUGCUAGCUGGGUGGCCCUGGGCAAAUGACCUUUAAAGUGCUUCAGCCUCCUUCCAGGAUUGCAGUGAGGACUGGAUGAGAUAAAUGUGUGUAAAGCACCUAGCCUGGUGCCCAGGACACACUGGGUUCUAAGUAAGGAAUGGUGGCUUUCAUUAUUAAUAUUACCAUCAUCAACACUGACUGUCAUUAAGUAGGUCCAGCUAUGACAGAAUAAUCCCUGUCCAAGCAACUGAAAUGAAUGUCUUCCACCUUCUAUAAGGCAGAUCCUCCAGCCUGUGCUCCACUGAAGGGACGUGAUCAGAGCAAGAUAGAGCCCAAUUCCUUUGCACCUCUCCUCACCUCAUUUCUUACUGCUUAGAUUAGAAAGCAGAUUCAGCAUAAACACCUUUCUAAGCAUAAGGGUCACAUUUGGGCUUAGGUUCCAUCUAGCUAGCAGUCAUCUAAACAAAGCUGAAUCUCAGUGUACCUAACUGCUGUGAUGGGACGGAGGUGACUCAACUACUGUACCCCUUUGUGGUAGGAAAGCUGUCACAGAAAGCCCUGGGUGGGUCAAAGCAGAGAUGCCCACUGUGGUUCAUAAGGAAUGGUACUCCAUAUUUCAAACCAAAUCACAUCAAAUGGCCCUCAAGGUGCUUUCGGUCAAGUUGGGAAGACAGCAAGUACAACCUUCUAUUGUUAACUAAGUGCCAAAUGACUGGGAUAGUCCUGGGGAAGUCAGAGAAGAAAGGGUACAGUGGCUAGAGAGAUCAGAGAGCUUCACAGAGACAGUGGGAGGAUGGAAGCUGGGCUCUGACAUUAGAGAGGUAGGGGAAAGAAUUUCAGGUAGAAGAUGUUGGAAGGAGCAAUUCAGCUGGUGUAUGGGCAGGUAUGGGGAGCUCCUGGGUCUGGCUGGGAUGGCAACUUUCUUUAUGCAGGAGAGAGGCUAAGACAAGGCUGAGAAGGUAAUUUGGGUCUGGAGCAGGGCUUCUCAGCCUAGGUACUAGUGACAUCUGGGACCAGAUAAUCCUCUGCUGUGGGGCUGUCCUGUCACUGUGGCCUGUUCUCUAGCAUCCCUGGUCUCUACUCCUCCAGCUUGACAAUCAAAAAUGUCUCCAGAAUUGUCAUAUGUGUUCCAGGGGGCAAAUUCACCCCAGCUGAGAACCACUGGUCCAGAGUCUAGAGUCAACCACCAGUUUACUCUGUCAGCAAUGCAGAGUCAAGAAGAAAGAUGUGUCUGCAUAUCUGGGCACUGUGCACUUCUGACAUCUGAAGUUCUCUGGCAUUGGCUCCCUGUAUUUUGCCCUCAGUAAGUGCAGGGAACUUCUGAUCUUGAGGACAGAGUAUAAUAAAUCAAAUGUAUUCCCUUG